rnacentral:misc_RNA from 1 species
GUGAAUCAUCGAAUCUUUGAACGCAAAUUGCACUCUCCUCGGAGAGUAUGCCUGUUUGAGGGUCAGCCUAUAAAAAUCGACAUCGUUGCUUUUUCGCGGUCGCGUUCGUCUUAAAUUGGGUCAUCUUAAAUCCUUUUGAUUUAAGCGACUUAAAAGUUUCUUUUGGUUCCAUUAACGUUUCUAAAAUCUAUUUCUUUACACUUUUAAGGUAUCGAUUUUUACUAUACGUUACCAUCAUAUAUGAUCGCGUCCAUAAUCUUUCAUUAACUGACCUCAGAUAUG